UACGAAGGGGGCUAGCGUUGUUCGGAUUUACUGGGCGUAAAGGGCGCGUAGGCGGCCAGCACAAGUCAGUUGUGAAAUCUCCGAGCUUAACUCGGAAAGGUCAACUGAUACUGUGCGGCUAGAGUGCAGAAGGGGCAACUGGAAUUCUCGGUGUAGCAGUGAAAUGCGUAGAUAUCGAGAGGAACACCAGUGGCGAAGGCGAGUCUCUGGACGACUCCUGACACUGAGGCACGAAAGCUAGGGGAGCAAACAGG
rnacentral:rRNA from 1 species